AAUCAACGCUGGCGGCGCGCCUAACACAUGCAAGUCGAACGAGAAAGCCGCAAGGUGAGUAAAGUGGCGUACGGGUGAGUAACACGUGGAUUAUCUACCCUCUAGUGGGGAAUACCGCUGGGAAACCGGUGACAAUACCGCAUAAGCUCGAGAGAGGAAAGCAGCAAUGCGCUGGAGGAGGAGUCCGCGGUCGAUUAGUUAGUUGGCAGGGUAAAAGCCUACCAAGACCGUGAUCGAUAGCCGGCCUGAGAGGGCACACGGCCACACUGGCACUGAA
rnacentral:rRNA from 1 species